rnacentral:rRNA from 1 species
AUUGAACGCUGGCGGCAGGCUUAACACAUGCAAGUCGAGCGGAGAUGAGGUGCUUGCACCUUAUCUUAGCGGCGGACGGGUGAGUAAUGCUUAGGAAUCUGCCUAUUAGUGGGGGACAACAUUCCGAAAGGGAUGCUAAUACCGCAUACGUCCUACGGGAGAAAGCAGGGGAUCUUCGGACCUUGCGCUAAUAGAUGAGCCUAAGUCGGAUUAGCUAGUUGGUGGGGUAAAGGCCUACCAAGGCGACGAUCUGUAGCGGGUCUGAGAGGAUGAUCCGCCACACUGGGACUGAGACACGGCCCAGACUCCUACGGGAGGCAGCAGUGGGGAAUAUUGGACAAUGGGGGGAACCCUGAUCCAGCCAUGCCGCGUGUGUGAAGAAGGCCUUAUGGUUGUAAAGCACUUUAAGCGAGGAGGUGGCUACCUGGAUUAAUACUCUAGGAUAGUGGACGUUACUCGCAGAAUAAGCACCGGCUAACUCUGUGCCAGCAGCCGCCGUAACAC